GAUGAACGCUGGCGGCGUGCCUAAUACAUGCAAGUCGAGCGAACAGACGAGGAGCUUGCUCCUCUGACGUUAGCGGCGGACGGGUGAGUAACACGUGGAUAACCUACCUAUAAGACUGGGAUAACUUCGGGAAACCGGAGCUAAUACCGGAUAAUAUAUUGAACCGCAUGGUUCAAUAGUGAAAGACGGUUUUGCUGUCACUUAUAGAUGGAUCCGCUCCGCAUUAGCUAGUUGGUAAGGUAACGGCUUACCAAGGAAGCGAUGCGUAGCCGACCUGAGAGGGUGAUCGGCCACACUGGAACUGAGACACGGUCCAGACUCCUACGGGAGGCAGCAGUAGGGAAUCUUCCGCAAUGGGCGAAAGCCUGACGGAGCAACGCCGCGUGAGUGAUGAAGGUCUUCGGAUCGUAAAACUCUGUUAUUAGGGAAGAACAAAUGUGUAAGUAACUAUGCACGUCUUGACGGUACCUAAUCAGAAAGCCACGGCUAACUACGUG
rnacentral:rRNA from 1 species